rnacentral:rRNA from 1 species
CGAUUCUGGCUCAGAACGAACGCUGGCGGCGUGGAUAAGACAUGCAAGUCGAACGAGACGGAGGGAGCUUGCUCCCAAUGUCUAGUGGCGAACGGGUGAGUAACACGUGAGCAACCUGCCCUAAAGCGGGGAAUAGCCCUUCGAAAGGAGGAUUAAUACCGCAUGUGAUCGCAAGAUUAAAGGUGCCUUCGGGUGCCGCUUUAGGAUGGGCUCGCGGCCUAUCAGCUUGUUGGUGAGGUAACGGCUCACCAAGGCUACGACGGGUAGCUGGUCUGAGAGGAUGAUCAGUCACACUGGAACUGAGACACGGUCCAGACACCUACGGGUGGCAGCAGUCGAGAAUCAUUCGCAAUGGGCGAAAGCCUGACGGUGCGACGCCGCGUGGAGGAUGAAGGCCCUCGGGUCGUAAACUCCUGUCAUCAGAGAGUAAUGGCUUACUAUUAAUAGUAGUGGGUCUUGAUAGUAUCUGAAGAGGAAGGGACGGCUAACUUCGUGCCAGCAGCCGCGGUAAUACGAAGGUCCCAAGCGUUGUUCGGAAUCACUGGGCGUAGAGCGUGUGUAGGCGGCGUGGAAAGUCAGAUGUGAAAGCCCGAGGCUCAACCUCGGAACUGCAUCCGAUACUCCCACGCUAGAAUACCGGAGGGGCAUCUGGAAUUCACGGUGUAGCAGUGAAAUGCGUAGAUAUCGUGAGGAACACUAGUGGCGAAGGCGAGAUGCUGGACGGUUAUUGACGCUCAGACACGAAGGCCAGGGUAGCGAAAGGGAUUAGAUACCCCUGUAGUCCUGGCAGUAAACGGUGUGGGCUUGGUGUAGGGAGAUUCGACCCUCUCUGUGCCGGAGCUAACGCGUUAAGCCCACCGCCUGGGGAGUACGGUCGCAAGACUAAAACUCAAAGAAAUUGACGGGGACCCGCACAAGCGGUGGAGUAUGUGGCUUAAUUCGAUGCAACGCGAAGAACCUUACCUGGGCUUGACAUGCUUGUCAUACUUUCUCGAAAGAGUUAGGUCGGUUCGGCCGGACUUGCACGGGUGCUGCAUGGCUGUCGCCAGCUCGUGUCGUGAGAUGUUGGGUUAAGUCCCGCAACGAGCGCAACCCCUGUCACUAAUUGCCAGCGAGUAAUGUCGGGGACUCUAGUGAGACUGCCGGUAUCAAACCGGAGGAAGGUGGGGACGACGUCAAGUCAGUAUGGCCCUUACGCCCAGGGCUGCACACGUACUACAAUGCCCAGUACAAUGAGAUCCAAUACCGCGAGGUGGAGGUAAUCUAUAAAACUGGGCUCAGUUCGGAUUGGAGGCUGCAACUCGCCUCCAUGAAGUCGGAAUCGCUAGUAAUGGCGCAUCAGCAACGGCGCCGUGAAUAC